rnacentral:rRNA from 1 species
UACGAAGGGGGCUAGCGUUGCUCGGAUUGACUGGGCGUAAAGGGCGCGUAGGCGGUUCGUACAGUUGGAUGUGAAAUUCCCGGGCUUAACCUGGGGGCUGCAUUCAAUACGUACGGGCUUGAGUUCGGAAGAGGGUCGUGGAAUUCCCAGUGUAGAGGUGAAAUUCGUAGAUAUUGGGAAGAACACCGGUGGCGAAGGCGGCGACCUGGUCCGAUACUGACGCUGAGGCGCGAAAGCGUGGGGAGCAAACAGG